rnacentral:rRNA from 1 species
UACGGAGGAUGCGAGCGUUAUCCGGAUUUAUUGGGUUUAAAGGGUGCGUAGGCGGGCUUUUAAGUCAGCGGUAAAAAUUCGGGGCUCAACCCCGUCCGGCCGUUGAAACUGGGGGCCUUGAGUGGGCGAGAAGAAGGCGGAAUGCGUGGUGUAGCGGUGAAAUGCAUAGAUAUCACGCAGAACUCCGAUUGCGAAGGCAGCGUACCGGCGCCCUACUGACGCUGAAGCACGAAGGCGUGGGUAUCGAACAGG